rnacentral:tRNA from 1 species
GCAGGGGUAGGGAAGCGGCCAAACCUGCAGCGUUCAGAGCGCUGUCGCUUAGUGCGUUCGGGGGUUCGAAUCCUCCCCCCUGCA